GAGUUUGAUCAUGGCUCAGGAUGAACGCUGGCGGCGUGCCUAAUACAUGCAAGUCGAGCGAACGGACGAGAAGCUUGCUUCUCUGAUGUUAGCGGCGGACGGGUGAGUAACACGUGGAUAACCUACCUAUAAGACUGGGAUAACUUCGGGAAACCAGAGCUAAUACCGGAUAAUAUUUUGAACCGCAUGGUUCAAAAGUGAAAGACGGUCUUGCUGUCACUUAUAGAUGGAUCCGCGCUGCAUUAGCUAGUUGGUAAGGUAACGGCUUACCAAGGCAACGAUGCAUAGCCGACCUGAGAGGGUGAUCGGCCACACUGGAACUGAGACACGGUCCAGACUCCUACGGGAGGCAGCAGUAGGGAAUCUUCCGCAAUGGGCGAAAGCCUGACGGAGCAACGCCGCGUGAGUGAUGAAGGUCUUCGGAUCGUAAAACUCUGUUAUUAGGGAAGAACAUAUGUGUAAGUAACUGUGCACAUCUUGACGGUACCUAAUCAGAAAGCCACGGCUAA
rnacentral:rRNA from 1 species